rnacentral:lncRNA from 1 species
UAUACAGCAGAGCGACAUGCACGUAACCGCUUUUUUUGAAAUAUUGCAUUAACAAAACAUUUAAAAAUAAAACAACUAUAUUUUUGUCGUUAAAGUUGAUCAUUAUACCAAAUCUGUAAGCUUGUAAUAAUUUAUUAUAAUUUUAUUAUUUUUUUAAUUUUAUAUAGGUUAUAUCUUCAGUAAGAACAUAACGUUUUUUAUUGGUAUCGUAUUUGUUAAUUAAGUACACCGUACACCUUAUGGCUAAUACCAUUUAAAAUUUAUCAUUGUACGUAGUUUGAUAAGUUGACUACAUAAUAUAAGAUAGUGACUAGAUCUUAUUUUAUUUUCCCAAGUAUUGUCAAUAAAUGUUUAAUACCUGGGUCAAUAAGUUACGUAUAUUCUUGAGGCCCCCAGUCUUUAAAUGCGUCUUCACAACGCUUCCAAAUCAAUAUUUUAAUGAUUUUUUUCCCAGUUGUAUACAACAGUUCUUUUUUCCAUACAAUUACAUACAAUUUUCAUACAUUUUGUAUUCAACUAACAUGUUUUCAAUCAAGUAUAACAAAGUAUCAACAUUUAUUAUUAAUACAUUUCAUUAUUCAUAACCUUCAUUAUUAUUCCAUAUUUUAAUAUCUUUAAAAUGAAAUAGACAAUUAAUUUGAAUUUAUGGGAUUUGAUAUAUUAAAAGGCACGUUUGCAAAUUACUAUGUGUCAGAAAUAGUUGUAAAAUAGGCACAUAAUUUUAUAAAUUGUUGAAUACAUCAUAAAAACAAAUGGAUUAUAAAUAAACUAAAUCAAAAUAUUUUUUUGAAGUAAUAUGUAUAGUGUAUAUUAUAUGUAGAAGUUAAUAGGUACAUUGUAUUAAAAAAUAUAUCACAAUUACAUUCAAUUUAAAUGGUUUAAGUGUAAAUAAAAAUAUCAAUGGUCACACUUACAUAAAAUUACAUGAAUAAUAUUACAUUUUUAAUUAGUAAGCUAGCAAUAUUGAUGAGCAUACAUUUUUUCGGAUUAAUGUUUUUUUUUACAAAGAAAUAUUAAAUAUUUUGUUCAUUUUAUCUAAGUUAAUUUUUCCACAAAUGUUUGGCAUCGCAGGAAAUUACCCACCGAUCCCAUUAAAACCACAAAUGAAUGUGCAUGCGAACUAGUCACGAUGACGAUUGUUAUUUUAUUUGUAACAAGCAUGUACAGUGAUCGCAAUGUUUUGGUCUUAAUGAACCCAGAAUGAAUAUCCAUGAAUGUUAUUUCAUCUGUAAUAAUUUGUAAUCUAAAUUGAAAUUUUUGUACUCCUACUCAAACAUGUAAAAUACAUUUUCCCACGGUGGUAUUGUUAUAACAAGCAGUUGUGUCCGUACAUAUAAUGUAGCCAAUGUAGGUAUCUGGUAUACACUAUACCUAGGUAGGUACAUAUAAUAUGAGAUUCAUCUUUAAUUAAACAUCUUUUAUCAUCAACCUAAUUCAAUACUCUUUUAUUCUGUUAAAUUUUACAAAAAAUGUUAGGUUUUCAAUUCAAUAUCUUUAUUGGUUUCAAAGUCCCUCUUAAUAUGUAACUUGGAUAUUAACAUCCAAACAUAUUAUUAGUUAAUCAUUGUGUGCAGAUCCGUCCUUUUAGAAACAAGAAAAAAAUUCAAAAUAUAUUUUGUAAUAACUUUACUCUUUAAUGCAUUAUGACAAUAAAAAUUCACUCAUUAGAUAUACGCCUAUACCAAAACGAACUAUUUCCACAAAUUAUUCCAAAACCUACUAAUCGUAUAUUUAUGAUUAUACAUUUUUAGGAAGAAGAAAGUGUGAAGGCAAAAUAAUAAGCAAAGAAAUGGGCAAGUAUAUUACUCUUCACUUUAUAAAUUCAAUUUUUAUUCUAAUUAGACAUUUUUGAUACAAACCAUUAAUAUAAUAUGUGCUUGGUACUUAUUAUAUCAAUAUUGAAUUUGACUAAUAACCUCCUUGUUAUAAUAAUCAUUAUUAGACCAUAAAUUUUAUUUUUAUACAGAUGUAGGAUGACCUCAAUAAUGGCUUAAAUAAAUAAAUCAAUAAAUCAUUACAUACUGUGUAUACCUACCGCCGCUUAUGCAGUCCAAUUUAAUGUUACAUUUAUGUUAUAGUAAUAUUAAAGGAUUUACCAUUUACAUACCUAACCAUAAAGUCAUUUAUAUUGUCUACAUUAAAUAGUUAUCUAAUUUUUUUUUUAAAAAUUCAAAGUACUCAAUAUUAAAUUUUAAUAAAAAUCUAAUAUAACUCAAUAAGAUAGUUAUAAUU